GUAAUGAGACACUGUCGGAUGAGGGUCAAAUAGUGCUUCCUGCAGUUUACACAUCUUGAUUUCCUGGUAAACAGACUGAAAGGCAGGUGGAGCACUAGGAUUAGCUGUAAAGGGAUGGUGCUCACACCAGCAGAACUAAGCUAGGAGGAACCUGCUUAUAUAAAAUGGGGUGGAAAUCGUGAAAAUUAUGUUUAGCUUGUGAAAAAGGCACAAAGAUGAAGACAUGUGAGACUGUGACUCCAGAAAAAUGAUAGAAAGGAAGGACAAUUUAUUAGAGCACAGGAGAACUACAGAACGCUGGAAGGUCACAGCCUGUGAGCGGUGCUGCUAGCAAACACAGAGAUGAUGCUCCAAAGCUGCCAUUUUUCUUCCUCGACACAGACUCCAUCUGCCACAGACCCAUUUGUAGCCUCAGAGUCAGAAUAUCAAUGAUAUAUCCAACCAUCCUGCUAGUCUGCUUUCACCUUCACAUCACCUCUAAAACACACAGCUACACAACAAGCUCUGGGCUCUGGCUUUAUUCUUCUGAGAGUGGAUUUCAGCCUGAUACAUGGAGACAUUUAUACUUUAUCACAUGUGUGUGUGUGUGAGUGCAUUUGGUUAUAUAGUAUUACAUAGUACACACAGGAGGGGAGAUAAUAGUAUUUCCACACAUUUAUAUAAAUGGAUUAAGCUGCAUAAGGAUGUGGAUACAGAAAUAUAUAGAUCAGUAGAUACAAUGUUAUAUAUGGGAUCCGAGUGUGUGUACACACACACACACACACACACGCACGCACUACUGUAGAUGAUUUUAGUGAUAUAUUAAUAUAUAUAAUAGCACACAAAUAUAUACACAGAUCUAUAUGUAGACAUAACACAUAUUAAUGCACUGUAGCAUUUCUGGAUGGCACAGAGAAAACACUACCAAUAAAGGUUGUAUUUGGCCUGUAUAAAGAUGGAGUCAUUGCCCCAAACUUAGCCGCUCUCAUAUAGUGAAGGGCGCUUUCUAUCACGCUGCAGUAUUCCUGCCCCCUGCAGGGUGCCACACAAGGGAAUUUGUGAUCAACACGAUGUACAAAAAGUGCUCUAUCCACAUAACAUGUAACAGGGGCGCCAUGGUGCCAUUCUCCUCAAAAAAUGUCCUCCAUCUGUAAUACAGAAAGCCCUGUGCACGAAUGGAUGGAACUUUUAGGACAUCCUGUAAUUACUAGACCCUAGCAACUGAUGGAAAAUGAAACACGGGUGUAGUAAUUAUGUAUAUGGUUAGUUACGUGGCUGGAAAUCUGUUAGAUUGUUAGCUUAAGGCAAAUAAUAGCAUAAAAUAACAUAAUAAAUAACAUUUCCUACAAUGCUAAGUAA